rnacentral:lncRNA from 1 species
UGAGAUGGUGUCUCACCCUGUUGCCCAGGCUGGAAUACAGUGGCACGAUCCUGGCUCACUGCAAUCUCCAUCUCCCGGGUUCAAGCGAUUCUCCUGCCUCAGCCUCUCAAGUAGCUGGGAUUACAGGGCUUCAGAAGCUGAUGGCAUAGUUAUGAGAGGGGUGAAGACUGCGACUGCAUUUCCAACAGACCCUGAGGACAAUUGGGAAGAAUGCGCUGAAUAUUUUUGAGCAAUUUCUAUAUGAUAAGCAGUUUUUAGGGCAAGUAUAGGUUGCACUGAUCCUGACCUUUUGGCCUGAGGAUGGAAGUCUUCAGUAUCUGUACAACUUUACUCCCAAGAGCUGGUGUAGAAUGAGUUCCUCUGGCCAUGGGAGGAUCGCAGAGGGGCACCUGCCACCAGCAGCCCAGCCUCAGCACUUUUCUCUUCAGCGUCUUCUUCAAGGUAUUUCCAGUUGCCCGCCCUGAACUGUUUCAGAAUGAGGAGGACACCUGGAGGAAUCUACACGUGCAUAGACCAAUUUGCAAAAGAACCUGUGAGCCAACGUAGGUUGUGAGAUGCAUAUCCCACAUCCAGUUCAGCCCAGUAACUUGGGAAAUGGGGGAGAGGUAGCUCUGAAGACCAGACUUAGUACAUUUUUACCCCCAUCCAUGCUUGCAACUGUAAGUUGAUCUUAAAUUAGUACUUUUAACCAAGUCAACCUCAAUCACUUGAAUAGGAUACCCAGCUGAAAAACUUGGGGUCACUGAAUCAAUCUCUUAUCUGUAAGAGAUAAUGAUGCCCACCCAAUGGGGUUCUGAAAAAUAUGUAAUGCCUGACAUGUAGUGUAUACUCACUGAAUGUGGCUUUUAACCACAACCUUUAUAUUUUUGCCGAGUAUCACCUUUCUGCAGCAACCGUGAGAACCUCGCGCUAAGCUUGUCUUAGAUUGCUCAUUCCUUUCCUAUAUUUAGACACCAAACUCCAUUCAUUUUCCCCUUGAAAUGUUCAUUCCCAUGAUCAAGAUUUUGCUUAAACACAUUUUGUUUUCAUGUCCAGAUUAUUACCUCAGCUGGAAGAAUUAAUAAGCAACACGUUCACCCAAGAAGUAUUUACUGAGCACCUACUAUGUGCAUUAUUUUCUGGUGUUGGGGCUAGGGGGCAAACGACUCUGACAAGUCUCUGUUCUCAAGGUACUCACAUUUAUAUGGAUGAAGAUAGAUAACAAACAAGGAAAAAAUUGGACAGACAAAAAAUUUAGGUGGUGCCAAGUAUGAUGCAAACACUAAAACAGUAAUGCAAUAGAAGAUGUCAGAGGGAGAGUGGGAAGGUUACGUUAAAUAGAUGUCCAAGGAAGAUCUCUCUGAGGAGAAGCUACUAGGGCUGAGAUCUUAAUGACAACAAGGAACCCAAGGGCUGGAAGCAGAGCGUUUUGAACAUGGCCAGUGGGUGCAAAGGCCAUCACACGUGAAUGGGCCUGGCCAGGUGGAAGGACAGAGGGCAAGGCUGUUGUGGUUGCCCUGUGAGUGCGAACGGCCCAAGAUGGGAUGAAAGAGGAGGUCGGGACCACACCGUAUAGGAAUAUCAGAUCAUGGUCAGGGCUUUGGAUUUUACAGGGGUGCAGUAUAAGCCAUGGGGAGUUUUAGACAGGUACAGAAGUAAUUUACAUUUUCUUUCUUUCUUUUUUUUUUUUUUUGAAACGGAGUCUUGCUCUGUCCCCCAGGCUGGAGUGCAGCGGCGCGAUCUCGGCUCACUGCAAGCUCCGCCUCCCGGGUUCACGCCAUUCUCCUGCCUCAGCCUCCCGAGUAGCUGGGACUACAGGCGCCCGCAACCACGCCCGGCUAAUUUUUUGUAUUUUUAGUAGAGAUGGGGUUUCACCAUGUUAGUCAGGAUGGUCUCGAUUUCCUGACCUUGUGAUCCGCCCGCCCCCGCCUCCCAAAGUGCUGGGAUUACAGGCGUGAGCCACCGCGCCCGGCCGUAGUUUACAUUUUCUAAAGCGUACUCUGCCAGCCAAGUGGCAAACAGACUUGGGCCUCUUAAGAGUGGAAGCAGGAGGAAACCCGAAGAUCCUGGAGAGAGACUGGUGGCUGGUACCAGUGGAGAGGGAGCAAAAAGGAAAAUACAGGAUACAAUUUCAGGAAAAAUUUCAUACCAAUUUCCUGAGGUAAUUUCUGAACUCGAACAUUUUCAGUGUCACCACAUUGUGUUUCCUGCUGAAUCAAGUCUACAUCACUUCGGUUUUUAAAGCCUUCCACGAUCCUUCCCUGAACACUGUAGUUUUCACUGAUGGUUGGCUGUUUCAAACUCCCAUAUGAUCCAUACUGUAUCAUUAAUAAGCAAGCAAGGAAUAACACACCCUCUGCUAUUCUGUGCAGUGUUUCAGGUUUUUAGUUUUCUCUUUCAAGAUAGAAAAUCCCUUUAGAGUAGGAACUCGGCUGGCACUUUCUUUCACAUCCUGCAUAGCACUUAGCAAAGUUCUGUACACAGGGCACAUGUGGAAAUUGCUUAUUGAUUGAUUAAAAGCAUAUAUCACUGGCAUUUGUAUCUUCAGUAUUUCUCUUGUAUGAAGAAGGGUGAUUAUCUGUCAAUAUUCAUUGCAUCAUUGAACCAAUGUACAAUGCAUUAAUCAUCACUGAAGAUAACCAGAUGAGGCUUUAUUGUAAUCUCCUUCUAUUUUGCUGAGAUAAUUUCACUUGCUUUAGAGUUUAUGAGGCCAUAAGUGGCUCCCAUCUGUUGAUGAACAUAUUUCUAAGAGUCAUUUAGUCUCAAGUAUGGAAUACUUGAGGGGAAGUUAAAUUGUAACUUUUAUAUUAAGUGUCAUCUUAGUAACAGAACCAAAAUUGGAAGCAUGUGUUCAAUUUUGGUUUUUCAUUUUCAAAGCUUUAGGUCAGGCAAAGAAUUAAUUUCAUUUGUUUACAAAGUAGAUUAUGCCUAAUAAAAUCUAUUUUGUUUAUGGUCACAUUUUAAUCAAUCCACUGCUUUAGAAAAUGAGAGAAUUCUGAUUGGCUAAUCAUUCAACAUAGUAAAUUACAUUAUUCCACAUCCACAGAACACUGGCCUAAUUGCAUUAUCCAGUAAUGAUAAAAAUAUUCCUUUUAAUACAUUUUGAGCAAGGCAUAUACCAGUGAUGAAACAGGGAAGAAUCUUGUUUAUUCCAUCCUUGUUUGAUGAUCGACCACAGAAUAUAACAUAACACUUCUGUGUAUAAGAAUUUUUUCAACAUUAAGGAUAAUAAGGACAAGGUAGUUUUCACUGGAUCCUUACUGGUACUCUGAAUUUUCACUAUUUGUCCGCAUUUCUUCUCCUUCCCGGAAAUUUGUUUUCUGCGAAAAACAAGUGCUACUUUGUCAAAUAAAGCUUAAAUAAAAUUGGUUUCAAUUUAUGCAUAAUAAAAGGAAUGCCUAGUGACUUUCUAUCUCUAGUGGGAGGUAGAAAACUCUCCAGGGUGACUUUAUUCACUCCAGAGGUUCUGGUGAGCACCAAGGAACAUUACCUCUGCAAAAUGCAGACAUACGCAAAAGGAUGCAUCAAAUUUAAGAGAAGUCCGUAGAUAGAUAUCUGAGGGAUCUGCCUUAGGGGAUGUAGACCAUAUAUACAACACGAAUUCCACAGAAUUAGCCUGGUAUUCACGAUCACUGUUUCUUAAAACAUAACUCUUUUAUGUUACCAAGCAACUUUUAUCUGAGAUGAUGACUACUCGAAUACUUCUUUUGCAUAUCGCCAGAAAAUAUCAAGUUUUCAUUUGAGUCCUUAAUUCAAGUUCUUUAUCACAAGAAGAAAGAAUAGCAUGGAUAAAAUGGUUUAAAGGUAGCCAAAAAAAAAACAAAACAUUGUAUUUUAGAAUGCAUAUUCAAACAUAUUCCAAAAAAUACUGUAUUUUAGAAUGCAUAUUCAAACAUGAUGACAAGUGGGCUCUGUGGCUCAUAUUGACAAUAGCUUUAACCUAUGAAGUGAGUGUCUUUCUAUACGGAGGUGAUGAGUUACUCAAUACUGAACGGCUCUACUAAAUUGUGCUUUUGGCUAUUAGAACUUGGCUACUGCCUUUCGUUGCUAUGUGUUGAGAGAAAAAUCUCAAAUGAUGAUGCUAACCAUUUUGCUAAUAAAAUAUGCUAAGCUGAAACAUUUCAGUUACUCAGUUCAUCUUCUGGUACAGAUGCUAGCAAGCAGAGAAGGUUAUGAUUUGAAAAACUCAACAGAAAGGAGGAAAAAGAUGAGAAAAAGAUUGACUAGAAAAUUAUUCAUGGAAUAUAUUUCACCAGCCUAUUGGGUGUUAGCAUCUUAGGUGGUGUGGUUAAUGCUAAUUUACAUUAAAUGGUAAAUUAACUAUUUUUAUUUUUCAUAAAUGGUACAUUUUCAGUACGGAGUUUCAGUAUUCCAUAUUUUCUCACAUGGGUACAUACACAAUGACACUGUUAUUACUAACAAUAAAGAACUUGUAAGAGAGUUUUUAGAAGUAACAUGCUUUUCUAAGAAACACAAAGAAAACAUUUUAUAGUGAGUGAAAAUGAAGGUUUUUACUUCAAAUUCUCUUUUUAUUUCCAUGAUAUUUCUGCCUGGGCUCUGCCAAGGAAAACUGGCAGUGGGCAACGGAUUAUGCCAAUGUAUACUUUUUUCCCCUCUGAGUUUUUAAUCUCUUUUCAGGUGACAAAUAGUUUUCUCUUAGACCAGAUUCACUUUAUUUUUCACUUACUUAAUUAAAAAAGUAAUUUACCGCUCAACAGGGACCCUGGAGUAUAUGUAUGCUCAUCUUCAUGGUUAAAACACUUUGAAAAAAGACAUACCACAUCAUAAAAAUCUGUAUUCCAGGGUCUCAGAACAGACUGCUUCAGUAUUGGUGUCAGAAUUGGGGGAUUAAUUAGGGUGGUCAUAAGUGAGAUCAUUUAAUUAAUAGAACAGCUUCCAGAAGAGGUGGGAGUGUAGUAUAAUUGUGGAGAGAAAGGAAUUCAGAAUGAGAUACACCUGGAUUCACAUUUGAGGGCUGCCACUCAUCAGCGGAGUGCCAUUAAGGAAAGAUAUUUAAAGCAUCCCAGAAUAGUGGCUGUUGCUCACACUGUAGAUAGCAUUGGAUUGCCUUAUUUAAUCCUGGCAUGACCACUUAUGCAUGCAUGAUUUUAGACGAACUAAUUCGCCUCACUAAGAUGAAUCUUUUGAUUUGUUCCUACUUCGCAGGGUCACUGUUGUGAGGUUUAAGAGAGAUAAUUUAAUGUAAAAUUUAGCAUAAUGCCUACACACAAAAAGCUUGUCAAGCAUUUAAUAAUAAUACCGACCAUUAUUAUUACUAAUGUCGUGCUAAAUGUGGCAGGACCUGAAAAAUUACUAAAUCUGAUUUCAAGCCUGAGUUUCCACCUGUAUAAAGUGGAGAUUAAAAUCCUGGUCCUCACAGGGUUGUUGUAACAAAACAUGAGAUAUGGAGCACUGAGUGAUUAGCACAAUUAUUGAUGGCAAUUAUUCAGAAGCAUUGAGUGCUUGAAUGAGAGCUGUCUGUAUAUUUGAUUGUGAAUAGUUCUCACAGUGUUUAUUCCAACCACUAUUUUCUUCUUGGUGGUCAUGCUUUUAAAACAUCUGAAGGCCAUAUUCUCAGCUUUGCUUUGUCUUGUCAAUCUAGAUACCUUUCCACAGGUACCCUUCACAUUUUAACUUUCUUGGCUUCCAAUUAAAGAGGCAAAGCCCAGCACUUCGACAUUUACACUUAAGUAUUUUCUAGGUAGAAGCCAUCUGACCUUUAAAAAAGACAUCUUUUAUAAAUUCUUCUUUGUUAACCACCAUUAGUGUCACCACUUUUCGAUCCUUUCAGUCCUUCUUUCAGGAUUUUGAAAAAGACUCGUAAAUUGGAUAGCUUUUCUAAAAGUGCAACUCUCUCAAUUCUGAAGGUAAUCUUAAAAGGGAAUUAGGGACAUGUGGGAUCUUUACUAGCUCCAUUAGUGCCAAACUUGCAAAGAGAAACUAUCUUUAAGUCAAAAUUGUCUCCUUGAGUGCGUGGCCAUUUUGAUAAGAAUAGUGCAAGGUAAUGCAAUCCCACUUUAAAUUUAGAAGUUCUAAAGUUCACACUACACUGAAAAGUCAUCAGUGAGUGGCACUGCCAUGCUUACAUUAGAGGAAAGAAUCAGGUACUCAAGUCUUGAACCAGGCAAACCAUUUAAUGUUCUGCAGGCAAUAUGGAUAUGGACAUACAGGUAAAAAGAAGAUCUGGAUCUCCCUGCCCUUCAAUUCUUUCAUUUCCUGACUGUGUGACCAUUAUUCAUAAUGACCAUGUGCAGUCUUGGCUUGUUCCUUCUGUUUUUGGUUUAGAAUCCUUACCUGGGAGGGGAAGGAAGGAUACCUUGUUCCUGCCUUAUAAGAAUCAAUGACACAGCAGGUUUGAACAUUCCGGUGUAUAGGGAGUAGACUCUAAAUUUAGCAGCCCCUCUAGCUACUAGAAUAAGAAUUUAGUGAUCUGAAGAAUUUACAUUCUGCCAGCAGUUGAUCGAGUUCUUAUGAUAUGCAAGGCCCAACGUUGGACAUGGAAAUGAACCAAACACAAUCUCUUCCCUUUAGGGCAAUACUAGGUAGUUUCAAAAAUCAUGUUGGGAUAUAAAUGAUUAGAAUAUAGGGUAGAAAAUAUCUAUAGCAAAAGGGCAGAGAAAAUAAAAUGGGGUCAUGGAAGAGAGUGAGAUUAUUCUUGGCUAUGUGAUAAAGGAAAGCUUCAUGGAGAAGGUAGUAUUUGAGUUAGGUCUUAUAUGAGUAAAUUUUGUACAUGAAGAGAAGGGGAUUAGUACGUUGAUGAAAUAGUUUUAUAAAGAACCAACAGUUUUAUAUAAAGGAGUAGAAUGGGAAAUAAGUCUAGGAAGGUGGGGAGAAUCCUCUCCAAAGGAGUACAAGAUCCCAAGGCUUUGUAUUUCAUACUCCAAGGUUAGAAACGUAUUGUAUGGCUUUCCAUCAGAAUCACAUAUUGAGUUUUUGAAAUUGCAAAUGUCUGAGCAGGAUCAUUCCCAACAUUUGUGGGGCCUAGAGCAAGAGCAUGAAUGGAGGUCCACAUACUAUAUGUCGAACUAUUUCAAAGUGUUAAAGGAAGCUGCACCCAAGACCUGGUCCUUGUUCCCAUCCAAGGGACUGCUUUGGGACUAGGAGGCUUAAGAAGCCCUGCUGUCCCUCAAGGCCAUCCUGCACUAGAGGCCUGAUUCAUUGCUUGGAACUUCACGGGGGAAACAGGACGGACCCUGGACUUAGCCUGGGGACUCGUGGGCAGGGCCUGCAUCUGCCCCCAUCAAGGAUGGAAAUGACUCAGUCCAGGUCUUCUGGUUACUGAAGGAAAAGGUUCUCCUACCUCAUGUUUUACUUUUCUGAUUCCAGAUUACCAGGAGGUUCUAAGCACCAGGUGAAACUAUACUCACCCACUCCAUACCCCCUCCCCAAGCAGAGGGGAAGGUAGAAGUACAGUUACCUGGGGAACACAGUCUGCCUAUAUAUCCUCCCACUUCAGGGGCUACUGGGUGGCUAUCCAGAAACUAAAGCAUCCCUUCUUUCUUUGAUUUCACAGGGCCCACACAGCCUGACCUCUCUCAAUAAGGGGAUUUCACUCUUUUUUUGGUCUAUCCCAUUUGCCCAGAUGACCCAGUUCAGCUGCUAUGUUCCUUUCCAUGUUUUGUGUGCUCUCAAUUGGUCAUGAAACUUUAAAACAUGAGACUCAGAAAAAAAAACCUGUCUUUGCAUGACUGUGUUUGUGAUGCUUGGAGACUCCUAAAGCCUGUGACCUUUCUUGGUCUCGUCUGAGGGUUGUGCUGUGUCUUAACCCAAGUCUAGAGCUACUGACCCAGAAUGUCUUGGGGUUAGGAUUGGAGAUGGGGUCUCAGGAUCUGUGUUAACAAGUUUCAGGGGUGACUAUAAUGCCCAGUCAGGGUUAAAAUCACUGUUAACAAUAGGGGAGGUUUUUCUACUUAGUUUUUAUUUCUCAGCAAGAUGAUAUUUUAAAAAGCAAACUGCAGGAGAAUGGAAGAUGAAUAGAAAGGUGGUGAGGCUAACAGGAGAGCCUCAGGAAAUCACCGAGCAAAUGAGACAAGGGCCUGGAUGAAGCAGGGGUUAUGGGUGGAGGUGAGAAGCUGGUUGGGAGAGGUCAACAGGAGAUCCCAUCAGAAGUGCCCAGUGCUCAGAGGGAGUGAUGGAGUCGAGGAUGACUCUGAGGUUUCCGGCUUGUUAUGGGUCAUAUUAUGUCCCCCAAACAGAUAUGUUGAAGUCCUAACUCCUAGUACCUAAGAAUACAACCUUGUUUGAUAAUAGGGUCUUUGCAACUGCAAUUAAGUUAAGAGAAGGUCAUUGAGGGAAAGCCCUAAGCCAAGAUGGCUGGGAUCCUUAUAAGAAGGGGAGGGACACAAAGGGAGGGCAGCCAUGUGUCCACAGGGGCAGAGAGUGGAGUGAUGUGGCUGUAAGCCAAGGAAUGUCAAGGAUUGCUGGCAAGCACUAGAAGCUAAAAAGAGCAAGGAAGGAUCCUUCCCUACAGGUUUCAGAGAGACUAUGGCCCUGCUGACCCCGUAUUUUGUAUGUGAGACAAUACAUUUCUGUUGUUUUAAGGCACCUGUUCAUGGUACUUUGUUUUGGCAGCCCUAGGGACCGAAUACAGAGCUGUAAUGGCCUGCACUGGUGUUGCCUCUCUCUGCACUGGGUCAUCAGUGAGGGCAAGCGUUUCUCGUAGACAGCACCUGUCUAUGAAUGUUCUCCACAGCAUAGACAUCCUCUGCACCAGAAACAGAGCCUCAUAUUCGGUGUUCCUCUUUGUUAUCUAGCUGCACAAACACAAGGUAUUAAUUCACUAAGGGUUUCAAUUAUCUGCUAUAUAAAAAGGCAUAAACAUAAAAGGUUUUAAUUGUCUUUUAUAUAAUAAGGCAGUUUCCAAAAAUUAAAUUAGGAUUUUUACAUUUAGUUUUCCCAUUCUCAUGCUGACCAUAUUUUAAUUUGAUUUCGAAAGCAUUUUUGGUAAUAUUUUAAAGUAUUAUCUUUCAUCUAGUAUCAUAAAAAUUAUUUAGAAAACCUAUAGAAGAUUUCAUCUCUACAAGUAACAUUUUUCAGAUAGGAAAUGAUUGCAGCAUUGAACUGCCAAAGAGACAGCUGAAAAAAAAAAUGGGUCAUGCAUUCAUCCCAUUCUAGAACAGAGGCUGCCAAGCAGUUCACUGCUCAUUUUUGUCCUGUUCUCGUAAACAAGCUGCGUUAACAAGUUACUUUUAAAAAGCAUACUAAUUUCCCCAGUGAAUUGCACAGGAAAGAAUCCAGCGUUCCCUCCAGAGGACUCAAAUAGUUGUUUGUUCUCAGAGCUCAGGUGUGGUAAAAUAGCCGUGGGCUAAAAGCACAGGCUGGAUAUUGGCCAGCAGGCUAGAGCUUCCCCUCCACUCCUGAUUUCUCACGUUGGUGAGAAACUCAUAGCCUGCCUGAUGUGGGGGGGAGAAAAGACUCGAUUUUCAAUUUCAAUUUAAUUACACAAUCCAUAGUGCCUAAUGGGAAGGAUUUAGCGGCAAGAUUAAUGCUCAGCAGCGCUCCAUUUUGCCUUUUUUUUUUGAUAAAAAAUACUGUAUGGAUUAUCUAAAGUGGGUUUUCAAAAAUGUUUUUCAAGAGCCAAAUUAUUUUGGUGGCAUAGUGAUUUGAAAAAGAAGGUGACUUUAUUUCUUGACUCUCUGCCAGAGUUUAUAUAAAUUAGAGGUAUAAGAUACCUUUUUGAAUUGUAUUGCCAGUGUAUCAUUCUUGAGAGUGGGGAGCACUUCUUUACUUGGGAGAAGAAUGAAUAGAAAUUUCACUGUAGGAUUAGAAAUAUAAGCAAUGAUUGAAGGAGACGACGAUCUGUUCUGAGAAUGACUGUAAAAUUAAAAUAUUAAGACCUUUCCCUCUUCAGUUAAAUCCUAAAGAAUUUCACUCUCUUAUUGAGACUGAAAACCAUUAUAAUUUUAUAUGGCAUCAGAUCAAUAUUUAAGAUUAUGAGUAAAUAUUUGGCAUUCUAUUUUGGUGUCUACAUAUUUUGUUAGUUUUGCUAAACGUAAAAAGAAGCUAAAAUAGGAAAUGGAAAUCUACCC